UCAUGGCUCAGGCUGGGACACCUCCUUANAGGUUGCUUGAGGUUAGCGGCGGACGGGUGAGUAACACGUGGGUAACCUGCCUGUAAGACUGGGAUAACUCCGGGAAACCGGGGCUAAUACCGGAUGGUUGUUUGAACCGCAUGGUUCAGACAUAAAAGGUGGCUUCGGCUACCACUUACAGAUGGACCCGCGGCGCAUUAGCUAGUUGGUGAGGUAACGGCUCACCAAGGCGACGAUGCGUAGCCGACCUGAGAGGGUGAUCGGCCACACUGGGACUGAGACACGGCCCAGACUCCUACGGGAGGCAGCAGUAGGGAAUCUUCCGCAAUGGACGAAAGUCUGACGGAGCAACGCCGCGUGAGUGAUGAAGGUUUUCGGAUCGUAAAGCUCUGUUGUUAGGGAAGAACAAGUGCCGUUCAAAUAGGGCGGCACCUUGACGGUACCUAACCAGAAAGCCACGGCUAACUACGUGCCAGCAGCCGCGGGUAAUACGUAGGUGGCAAGCGUUGUCCGGAAUUAUUGGGCGUAAAGGGCUCGCAGGCGGUUUCUUAAGUCUGAUGUGAAAGCCCCCCGGCCUCCACCGGGGAGGGUCAUUGGAAAACUGGGGGAACUUGAGUGCAGAAGANGAAGAGUGGAAUUUCCACUUGGUAGCGGCGAAAUGC
rnacentral:rRNA from 2 species